rnacentral:lncRNA from 1 species
CCCAAUGUGGUCAACGUCCUAGUCCUGGUUCAGCUACGGUUCACUUCUGAUGAGAAGUCAUUUUCUAGCUUCUUUCUCGGUCGUGUACAAAUUUUCCAUGUGAAAUGUCUCUUCUACUGCCUGUUCGAACUAAAUUCCAGCAACCCAAUUCUGCACACAAUUCACAACAUAAAUCAGCCAUCCACCCAUCUUAACAAUUGCAAGCCACAUGGACAGUUUAAACAAAUCAAAUGAUUAAUCAAAAAGAAACUCCCUUUUAGUCAGUAUGCAGCUGCUAGCCUUCUCCAACGAGACUAAUUCCUACUUCAUCAGUUCUUUCGCUGUUCAGUGUUAGAUGAUGCUGGGAAAAGUUGCUACUGCUCCUCACUAAUGGUUCCAAGGAUCUCUAAUCAAAUGAUCUUCUAGUUGCUAGUGCUUUGAACAAAAUCAGAAACCUCCUUGCAUUUUACACUACUCUGCAUCAACAUAUAUAUCAAUACAUCUCAACCUUGAUUCGUGGCAGCCAAAAGAAAUCAGAUUAGAUUCUAAUUCAAACUCUCUCUGUCUGAUGUUUCUAAUAUUUCCGCUUAAAUUUCUGGACUCCAAAUAUUUGGCAGCUCUGCACACAAAAAUUUCACACCCAAUUCCAGCAAGGUACAAAUGGUAAAGGACUAUUUAGACCAGAUUCAGAUAUAUAUAAUUCAAUCCUGACAGCAANGGAUCAAGCAUCAAUCCCAAUUUAAACAAAAGUCGAUCAAUUCAAUGAAUGAUAAUAACGGGAUACCAUGCAGACCAUAAUCAUCUAACUCAUUCAAUCAUGUAAUCAUAACUGGAAAUGCAAUGCUUGGUUCACUUUAUAAAACUGACAGANGUAUAGCAGUUAAAACAAUGUUGAUGCACAACCCUAUUUGUUUCAACUAAAUCUCCAAACAGUUCAGCUAUACAUGCACAAAAUUCACACCAAAGUUAAUACACAACCAGCAAUAUUAUCAUAAAACCCACAACAAACUAAGAUUCUUCCUGCAAUUAAUCCAGCUCAGAUCUGCUCACAAAAUUUACAUCAAUUUCAGUAAAAUACACGAGAACAUGGAUAUUAAACCAGAUGCCAUGGAUAUGAUUCAAAGCUGAAUGCAAUCUGUUUAAACACACUCCAACUAAUUGAAACCUGAACAAUCCAAUCUGGACAAGAGUGAUGUGAUGCAAUUUAGAAGUUGACGGUGAAAGUAUAGAUGCAGAAAUAAUGAAGUUCAGCAAUAACUCAGAUUCGACAUUUGCAAGUGAAAAUGAUAUGGAAUUCACAAUCAGGCUUAGCAAAAAUGAAUUGAUGCAGAAUUUUAAAAGAUAAAAUGCAGUAAUCAGAAUUAUGGUCCCAGCUUAAACAAAGCCACUUUGCUGCAUCAUG